GGGGUUGUAGUUUUAUAAAACAUUUAAUUUGCAAUUAAAAGAUACUAUAAUAAAUAAUAGUCUACCUCA
rnacentral:tRNA from 1 species